AAGCUCUUGAUCGAAGCCCCAGUAAACGGCGGCCGUAACUAUAACGGUCCUAAGGUAGCGAAAUUCCUUGUCGGGUAAGUUCCGACCUGCACGAAUGGCAUAAUGAUGGCAGCGCUGUCUCCAGCAGAGACUCAGUGAAAUCGAAAUCGCAGUGAAGAUGCUGUGUACCCGCGGCUAGACGGAAAGACCCCGUGAACCUUUACUACAGCUUUACAUUGAACUUUGACCUAACUUGUGUAGGAUAGGUGGGAGGCUUUGAAGUGGCGACGCCAGUUGCCAUGGAGCCAUCCUUGAAAUACCACCCUGGUUAUGUUGGGGUUCUAACUUGAGAUUAACAGAUCUAAGGACAAUGUAUGGUGGGUAGUUUGACUGGGGCGGUCUCCUCCUAAAGAGUAACGGAGGAGUACGAAGGUGCGCUCAGAACGGUCGGAAAUCGUUCAAAGAGUAUAAAGGCAAAAGCGCGCUUAACUGCGAGACCCACAAGUCGAGCAGGUACGAAAGUAGGUCUUAGUGAUCCGGUGGUUCUGUAUGGAAGGGCCAUCGCUCAACGGAUAAAAGGUACUCUGGGGAUAACAGGCUGAUACCGCCCAAGAGUUCAUAUCGACGGCGGUGUUUGGCACCUCGAUGUCGGCUCAUCUCAUCCUGGGGCUGAAGCAGGUCCCAAGGGUAUGGCUGUUCGCCAUUUAAAGAGGUACGCGAGCUGGGUUUAGAACGUCGUGAGACAGUUCGGUCCCUAUCUACCGUGGGCGUUGGAAAUUUGAGAGGAUCUGCUCCUAGUACGAGAGGACCAGAGUGGACGAACCUCUGGUGUUCCGGUUGUUUCGCCAGAAGCAUUGCCGGGUAGCUACGUUCGGAUGGGAUAACCGCUGAAAGCAUCUAAGCGGGAAGCCCACCUCAAGAUGAGAUUUCCCUAAAGAGCCGUUGUAGACGACGACGUUGAUAGGUUGGGUGUGGAAGCACAGCGAUGUGUGUAGCUAACCAAUACUAAUUGCUCGUUUGGCUUGACCAU
rnacentral:rRNA from 1 species